rnacentral:rRNA from 1 species
CUGUAAGCCUGUGAAGGUGUACUGUGAGGUAUGCUGGAGGUAUCAGAAGUGCGAAUGCUGACAUAAGUAACGAUAAAGCGGGUGAAAAGCCCGCUCGCCGGAAGACCAAGGGUUCCUGUCCAACGUUAAUCGGGGCAGGGUGAGUCGACCCCUAAGGCGAGGCCGAAAGGCGUAGUCGAUGGGAAACAGGUUAAUAUUCCUGUACUUGGUGUUACUGCGAAGGGGGGACGGAGAAGGCUAUGUUGGCCGGGCGACGGUUGUCCCGGUUUAAGCGUGUAGGCUGGUUUUCCAGGCAAAUCCGGAAAAUCAAGGCUGAGGCGUGAUGACGAGGCACUACGGUGCUGAAGCAACAAAUGCCCUGCUUCCAGGAAAAGCCUCUAAGCAUCAGGUAACAUCAAAUCGUACCCCAAACCGACACAGGUGGUCAGGUAGAGAAUACCAAGGCGCUUGAGAGAACUCGGGUGAAGGAACUAGGCAAAAUGGUGCCGUAACUUCGGGAGAAGGCACGCUGAUAUGUAGGUGAAGCGACUUGCUCGUGGAGCUGAAAUCAGUCGAAGAUACCAGCUGGCUGCAACUGUUUAUUAAAAACACAGCACUGUGCAAACACGAAAGUGGACGUAUACGGUGUGACGCCUGCCCGGUGCCGGAAGGUUAAUUGAUGGGGUUAGCGCAAGCGAAGCUCUUGAUCGAAGCCCCGGUAAACGGCGGCCGUAACUAUAACGGUCCUAAGGUAGCGAAAUUCCUUGUCGGGUAAGUUCCGACCUGCACGAAUGGCGUAAUGAUGGCCAGGCUGUCUCCACCCGAGACUCAGUGAAAUUGAACUCGCUGUGAAGAUGCAGUGUACCCGCGGCAAGACGGAAAGACCCCGUGAACCUUUACUAUAGCUUGACACUGAACAUUGAGCCUUGAUGUGUAGGAUAGGUGGGAGGCUUUGAAGUGUGGACGCCAGUCUGCAUGGAGCCGACCUUGAAAUACCACCCUUUAAUGUUUGAUGUUCUAACGUUGACCCGUAAUCCGGGUUGCGGACAGUGUCUGGUGGGUAGUUUGACUGGGGCGGUCUCCUCCUAAAGAGUAACGGAGGAGCACGAAGGUUGGCUAAUCCUGGUCGGACAUCAGGAGGUUAGUGCAAUGGCAUAAGCCAGCUUGACUGCGAGCGUGACGGCGCGAGCAGGUGCGAAAGCAGGUCAUAGUGAUCCGGUGGUUCUGAAUGGAAGGGCCAUCGCUCAACGGAUAAAAGGUACUCCGGGGAUAACAGGCUGAUACCGCCCAAGAGUUCAUAUCGACGGCGGUGUUUGGCACCUCGAUGUCGGCUCAUCACAUCCUGGGGCUGAAGUAGGUCCCAAGGGUAUGGCUGUUCGCCAUUUAAAGUGGUACGCGAGCUGGGUUUAGAACGUCGUGAGACAGUUCGGUCCCUAUCUGCCGUGGGCGCUGGAGAACUGAGGGGGGCUGCUCCUAGUACGAGAGGACCGGAGUGGACGCAUCACUGGUGUUCGGGUUGUCAUGCCAAUGGCACUGCCCGGUAGCUAAAUGCGGAAGAGAUAAGUGCUGAAAGCAUCUAAGCACGAAACUUGCC